GACCCUGGGCUAGCAGGCCUCAGGGAGAACUCCAAUGGCGUCUCUGUCAGCACGCCCACACCAGGCCACAACAAUGGCUGUUGCCAAUGUCCCAGUCCCUGGAGAGGUCUCACCUCUCACCGAGAUGCACUCAGGGCCUAUCAGAUUAUGGACUGGAAAAGACCCAGAUAGAGUAAAUGAGUCCUGAGAUGUGAGGGAGUGUCCUACCAGACUUGCCCUCUAUGAUGAUUAAGAUCUUGGGCCUUGGGAAUUGUAAGGAUGUGAGCUAUCAGCUGCCUGGGUGUUUCCAAUCUUGUGGAGAAGGCAUACUGGCCAGUGAAACUGACACUGAUCGUGAAUGCUGGAAGAUUGACAGCUCUGGGAAGAGCGCCAUCUCUCAAGUGCACGUUUUAGGAGGAGCAGUGAGUUGAUUGUGCCCUCCCCCCCACUACCUUACGAGGCCUCUGCUGACAUGAUGUGAUGUGCCCAGCACUCAGCACGGGAGGAAGAUGUUUCCGUGACUCAUGCGGCUCUCUCUCUUUUUGCCAUUUCUGCCAAGUUACUUUGACUUCAUGGCACGUCUUUGGAAUUUUGCUUGGUGAUUUGGGCUGAUAAGCAUUCUAGAAGCAGAGAUGAAAGAGAGCAUCUUGGAGCAUGUCUAACCAAGAGAAGCAUUUGGAACUGGUCCACUGGGAGAACUUAGAGAUAUACCAUUAAGCAGCAAUUGUAUUGUGUUUAAGGAAGCUCACUGCAUACAGUUGUUCCCAAGGCAGUUUCCUGGGAAAAAAGGUUUUGUUGGAAUGAGGAGCCACAGAGCCAUGGACCUGUUGCAAAAAUGUUUUGGGAGUCAGUCUACAUGACAGCCACUAAAACACUUCCAAAGGUGCACUCACGCCAUAAUCAAUCUGCAAAUGGAGAAAUGCAGAGGACUUGCUAGCAAAGCCCCUUUAAGGCAGAGGAGCCUCUGCUCAUUGAGCUGUUGACAGAGGUGGAGAAUGCGAUAACACCUACCAUACAUGAAUUGUGUCUUAGAAGAUGGAGGAGAAUAAGAGCUGGACCCUGCCCUCAAGGAACCUAUGAUCAGGCAUUAGAAUAGAUAUUAUUUGACGAAUUUACUGAAGAAGACAAUGUGAGUCUUUGCGUGCCUAUCAUGCUUUCAGCGACUUCUGAGAGGAACAGCCACAGAAGUUCCUGAUGUGUACAUUUCCAGGGGGACGGACCCAAGCACGGGCUCUGAGGCCAUUCCGGCUGCCCUGUGGAGAGCCCUCGCAGAGAGGACCUGAGCCCCUGCCAACAGCCAGCACCAACUUGCCAGCCAGUGUAAAUGAGCCACCUUGGAAGCAGAGCCUCCAGGACCUCUCAAGCUUCCAGGUGACUGCAAUCUCAGGAGCCAUGGAGCCAGACCCGCCUAGCUGAUCUGCUCCCAAAUUCCUGACCCAAAGAAACUAUGAGUGACAAUAAAUGUUUGUUGUUGUUUUAAAUCGGAAAAAAAAAAAAAAUUAGAGCCUGACCAACACAGUGUGUGUCCUCCUCUUAUCUGUAUUUUACAAUGUAUCUAUAGAUGAUUUUUUAAAUGGUACUUUUUCUCUUUCAUUUAACAGUAUAUCGUGACUAUCUUUCCAUGCCAUUAAAUAUUCUUUUACACAACAUAUGAACUGGUGUUAACUAUAUUUAUUUAAUCAGUCCCCCAGUGUUGGAUACUUAGGUCAUGAACUGUGUUUCUGUUUUUGUGUUUGUUUUGCUUUUAUAACUCAACAUCUUUGAAGUUAAAUAUUAACAUACGUCCAUGAUAUUUUUAUAGGUAAGACUUUGAUAGGAGGAUGUUGGGUAAGAAGAGAGAUGUUUUAGACCAAGGAUAUGGCAUGAAAUAAACGCAAAAUUAUGAUGUAGAAAGACCCAGGGCAUGUCAUCAAAUAAUUAAAUUAUGCUAGUGUUGGCUAUGUGUAAGGACACAGUAGCCAAAUUAUUGAUAGACUUGAAUGCCAAGUUCACAGGAUGAAUCUCUUUAUCCUCUGCAAGGAUAGUGGUAGUGUUAUAGAGAGGGUCGGCAGAGGUUAGCUUUGUCCCAUUUCACAUUACUGUGAUCUCUAGUAAACAAACAAAAAGAUAUCCUUUUGUACUUUGUAUUGUGGUUUGUUAAAAAAAUAAAAUACUAUGCUUUUA